UACGUAGGGUGCAAGCGUUUGUCCGGAAUUAUUGGGCGUAAAGAGCUCGUAGGCGGUCUGUCGCGUCUGCUGUGAAAACUCGGGGCUUAACCCCGGGCCUGCAGUGGGUACGGGCAGACUAGAGUGCGGUAGGGGAGACUGGAAUUCCUGGUGAUAGCGGUGAAAUGACGCAGAUAGUCGAGGAGGAACACCGGUGGCGAAGGCGGGUCUCUGGGCCGUAACUGACGCUGGAGGAGCGAAAGCCGUGGGAGCGAACAGG
rnacentral:rRNA from 1 species